CCUACGGGCGGCAGCAGUAGGGAAUCUUCGGCAAUGGACGAAAGUCUGACCGAGCAACGCCGCGCGAGCGAAGAAGGCCUUCGGGUCGUAAAGCUCUGUUGUUAGGGAAGAACAAGUAACGCAGUAACUGGCGUUACCGUGACGGUACCUAACGAGAAAGCCACGGCUAACUACGUGCCAGCAGCCGCGGUAAUACGUAGGUGGCAAGCGUUGUCCGGAAUUAUUGGGCGUAAAGCGCGCGCAGGUGGUUCCUUAAGUCUGAUGUGAAAGCCAACGGCUCAACCGUGGAGGGUCAUUGGAAACUGGGGGACUUGAGUGCAGAAGAGGAGAGCGGAAUUCCACGUGUAGCGGUGAAAUGCGUAGAGAUGUGGAGGAACACCAGUGGCGAAGGCGGCUCGCUGGUCUGUAACUGACGCUGAGGCGCGAAAGCGUGGGGAGCAAACAGGAUUAGAUACCCGCGUAGUC
rnacentral:rRNA from 1 species